UCUCCGUUGGUGAACCAGCGGAGGGAUCAUUACAGGACUCGCAAGACUCCUACAACCCUGUGAACUUAACUAUAAGCACGUUGCUUCGGCGGGUGUCUCGGAGGGGUUUCUCCCUCCCCGAGACGCUAAACCCGCCGGCAGCCUACUAUACUCUGUCUCUUUGCGUUGGCAUCUCGAGUACAAUCAAACAAGUUAAAACUUUCAACAACGGAUCUCUUGGUUCUG
rnacentral:misc_RNA from 1 species